GAUGAACGCUAGCGGCAGGCUUAACACAUGCAAGUCGAGGGGCAGCACGGGUAGCAAUACUUGGUGGCGACCGGCGCAAGGGUGCGUAACGCGUGAGCAACAUGCCCGUAUCAGGGGGAUAAUCCAGGGAAACUUGGUCUAAUACCCCAUAGCAAUUAAAGGAGGCAUCUUUUUAAUUUAAAGCUUGGUGGAUACGGAUUGGCUCGCGUGACAUUAGCUAGAUGGUAAGGUAACGGCUUACCAUGGCUACGAUGUCUAGGGGUUCUGAGAGGAAGAUCCCCCACACUGGAACUGAGACACGGUCCAGACUCCUACGGGAGGCAGCAGUGAGGAAUAUUGGACAAUGGAUGGAAAUCUGAUCCAGCCAUGCCGCGUGCAGGAAGACGGCCCUAUGGGUUGUAAACUGCUUUUGUAUGGGAGCAAUAAGGUCUAUGCGUAGACUGAUGAGAGUACCAUACGAAUAAGCAUCGGCUAACUCCGUG
rnacentral:rRNA from 1 species